AGUGAACGCUGGCGGCGUGCUUAACACAUGCAAGUCGAACGAGAACGGUAUAUAGCUUACUAUAUUUGUCAGCUAAGUGGCGCACGGGUGAGUAAUGUAUAGAUAACCUGCCCUUAAGAAAGGAAUAACAGUUGGAAACGACUGCUAAUGCCCUAUAUGCCUUUAAUACAUAAGUAUGCAAGGGAAACGCUUUAGUGCUUAAGGAUGGGUCUGUAUGGUAUCAGCUUGUUGGUGAGGUAAUGGCUCACCAAGGCUAUGACGCCUAACUGGUUUGAGAGGAUGAUCAGUCACACUGGAACUGAGACACGGUCCAGACUCCUACGGGAGGCAGCAGUGGGGAAUAUUGCACAAUGGACGAAAGUCUGAUGCAGCAACGCCGCGUGGAGGAUGACACAUUUCGGUGCGUAAACUCCUUUUAUAUAGGAAGAUAAUGACGGUACUAUAUGAAUAAGCACCGGCUAACUCCGUGCCAGCAGCCGCCGUAA
rnacentral:rRNA from 1 species